CCAUAUCACGUUGAAACACCGAAGUUAAGCAACGUCGAGCCCGGUCAGUACCUAUAUGAGUGACCACUUGGGAAUACCAGGUGCUGUAAG